ACCUCCGCCGACUCCCUCCCUCUCUCUCUUUUCCCCUUGCGAUCUCGCAGCCGCCGACCACUUCAGCGACGGCAAGGAGGACACCUCUUCGGCGUGCACUCCAGGCGAACCGUCGUUCCUUCCUUCUCCCGUGACCCCCAGCCGCCGCCGGCUACAUCAGCGACUGCAGGGGCGGAAUCGAUCUCGGAGAUCACCUCCCCGACGUGCAUCUCUGGUUGAUCGCCGUCGACAGCCUCAAACCACUCAACACCGUUGCCUCUGCCGGCCACAGUGAACUGCUGCGGGAGAGGAGGAAACAGUGGGAUUCGGGCUCGAAACAGAGCCUCAGAAUUGAAGACGACUAGGAUGCGUUGCAUUGAGGUUAGCAGGUAGAAAAGGAGUUGGGCUGCUCAGAGGUUCUUGCCUGUUGGUCCCAUGCUAUUUGGAGUUGUCUCUUGUCCCUAGUCUUGAAGUCAAUGCACUUUGAUUUUUCUUUGUACUCAGGCAUUUUGCUUUGAAAUUUGUUUGGAAACUUGUUUGGUUUAUUUUAUUUAGUUGUUGUGUUCGAACAAUCGUCGGAUUGAGCAUGUUAUCGGUUAGACAUGCGCGCAUGCUGAUUAUUGCUAUGUUUUAUUUUGGUC